GCCUGCGGGGCGGGCGCGUGCCUGCGUCACGUGCCCGGCGCCCUGGGCCCCGAGGCCCCGGUGACCGUGGCAUUUCAGGGCCGGGGACCUGGGGUGUGUGGUGGGGCCGCCCCCUCUCCGGCCCGGCGCAGAAGUGGGAGCCACCCCAUCCCCCACCGGCGCGGCCUCGCUUCACCGCCGCAGUUCAGGAGCCACGUGGAAGCCGCGGGACCUGAGGGCAAAGCGCGAGGCCGCGGUCACAGACGGCGUGCAAAUGGACUGGCGAAAUGUUUGAAAGCAGCCCCCAGAUCAGCUGCUCCCAUUCCACUGCCUGCAGCAUCCUGGCACUCGCUUGGGGGACACCCGAGAGUCAUCGAUCAAUAGGCCCUCGUCCCAGGGGAUAAGGCCGGCCAGCUGCCAGGGAGCUGCAUUCUAGCAAAGGUGGUUAUCCGGUGGAGCCCAUUGUGGACGAGCCAGCUUGAUGGAGAAAUGGCUUUGCAGAUCCCAGCUUAAUUAAAGCAGGUAUUUAGAGUAAUGGAAAGUAACGUUUACAAUGGUUUCCUUAGUUUUUCCACCUUCAGAUGUCUGUGCACGUGCCCGAUAGCUUAGCAACAGAGGACGGUUUGGGACUUGUCCCCAUUUCUCUUGAGGGCCGGUCUGAUUCUCCUCUCUUGAUUCUGUGGAAGUUGGAGCUGUAGAAACAGAAACUGCUGUCCCUUCACCCUUCAUUAAUCCUCACUUCUCUGGACUCCAGGCUCUGCCUUAUUCAGUGUAGUUAUGUGCCCCUAGAGACACACUGUUUGCUUCUUCACCUCCUGUGUGCCGUUCCAUGCCACAUGCCACAGUCCUACUCUUCAAAGGAUUUAUCAUGAAUUUGGGGAGAUGAUUCAGACACAGAAAUGUCUACAAUAUAAGGUAUUAUGUGAUAAAUAUCAUGAAAAUCUGCACACAGAAUGUCAUCAGGGGGAGGGGAGGGGAGAGAACUCUGUGCUUGGGGUCUCUACAAGCCGGCCGGGGCCUGGGCUUCCCGGGAAGUGAUUCAUUGAGUUCUCUUGGAGGCUCUUAGAAGGCAAUUAUGGAAACAGAGGGUGAGGGAAGAAGCCAGGCAAAGAGAAGGCUUCACAUGAGCCUAGUCUCCAGCUGAUCUGACAGAAAACUCUGGAACUUGUAGGUGCCACAGAGGCCAUGUGCUCUGGGACACAGGUGCUGAGCUGUGGCCCCUGUUGUGGUGACUGUUACUCUGAAGGGCGACAUGAGGCAUGGUCAUAGAAGACACAACCAUACUGAGUUAUACAGAACGGACAGAAGUGGUCAGAGGCCCCUGCCUGCAAAGCAAAGCACCAAGCCCAGUUAGUUUUGUGGGAGAAUUGUACCAAACUUUAAGUAGCAGACAAUUUCAAGGCUAUUUAAAGUGUUCCAGAGCGUAUGAAGACAAGGAAAGACUUCAAAUGAUUUUUAUCAUGAAAUGCCUGUUACUGAUCUAUCCACCUGACUGAGAACGUGCAGAAGGAAAACUCCAGGUAGCCUCGGUUAUAGGUAUUGAAAAUUCUAACCGCCAAGCAUUGGAGGAAAAGAGCAAUACAGUAAGUACUACAAGGGUGGUUUAUUCCAGAAAUGCAAAAAUGGGUUCAAUUAAAAUGCAAUUCAAAAAUACGAUUAUAAUUACAGAUACUGAAAAGGCAUCUACAAAAUCCAACAACUACUUUUGGUAAAAACUCAAUAAAAAAUAGGUGGAUUUUUAAAUGUGA